CACAUUAUUUACUUCAGAAAUAUUCAAAUACCCCCAUUAUGCUACAUUUACAACACUCCUCCAUGUUUUGCAGAAAAGGGCAAAAAGGCCCAAAAUCCUUCUAUAAUGGAGAGUGUCAAGAAACUGUGGUUGCUGUAACUUACGGAGGGACCCGGCCGUGAAGAAAAGAAGUAACCAGACGGGUCAAGCUAAUGUUAGAGGGAUCAUCUUGUGAAGAGAGAAGAGAAGUGGAAGGGCAAAAGAGCAAAACUGGCAGAUCAGAGGAGGGGAUCAAAUCCCUAGCGGCAACCAAAGAUCCCCUUUGGGCCUGGCAUCUCCAUCUCUCUCCCCCGACUCCCUCUCCACCUCCGGCCACCGCUGCGGCCAGGCCGGCGUGGCGGCGCGCCACCGUGCCAACAGCACCCCCCACCACUAGCUGCUGCUCCACCACUUCAUCAUCGCCAUCCAUCUAUCCAUCACCCAGCGCCACCGCUGCACCAUCCACCAUCAGCGCCGCCACCUGAACCCCGAACCACUAGCAACCCACGCAGGCACCAUCCACCACUUCCACUUUUCCCUCUCUCUCUUCCUGCUCCUCCCUCUUGCUUUGCCCCUGCUGCUUCUCUUCUUCCCCACGCCUCUACUGCUGCAUCUCCCUUGCCACGUCCCUGGCCCUUCUUGUCUUCCUACUGCUGCUUCUUCCUUCUCGAACCUCCUACUGCUGCCUCCUUCUUCUCUUGCUCUGCUGCUCCUCCUAAUAUUCUUCGAACCAGAAAACUGCUACUGCUCUCAACCUCCAACUUGCUGCUGCUGCUCCUCUCACGCCCCUGCUGCUACUUCUCUCUUCCACCUGCUGCUGCUCCUCCCUCACGCCCCUUCUCUAGCUGGUUGCUGCUGCUCUUCACCUUCCCUUACCCCAACCUGCUGCUACUACUUCUCCCUCAACCUCCUGCUGUUUCCUUCUCUGAACCUGCUGCUGAUUCCCAACCUCCUGCUCCUCCUGUCUUGUUGCGCUCCUUCUACGUCUUCUCCCUCAACCUCCUGCUGCUGCCACCUCCCUCUCUCUAAAUUUCUGUAGACUUGAGAUCGAAUGUAAUAUUCAUAUUUGACUAGUGCUUGAAACUUGCUAUUGGUUCAUACUCGUAACUGUAUAAUAAUGCUAUGACAUGUUCAGUUUCAGACUUGUGCUUGUUUAGUACUGUAGUACUGAUUUUGUUCAUCGGCGAGUAUUAGAACAGUGCCCUGUAAUACCAUAUUCGUAUUUGUGUAUGUGUGUGUUCAUCUAAUUUGUUCCAUUUUAUAGUCCAUGUGUUAGCUCUAGUACCAGUGUUAUAUAAAUAUACAUAUAUGUGUGUGUUAUGUUCAUGUCCUUUAACUUCUCUUGUCAUUGAUGAUAGCUUGUGUUAGUAUCUUAAUUUCUCAAGCAUUACGAAAAUACCAAAAAGAUUGUUGAAGAUAAUCUGAACCUCCCUUUGCUUCUUUGUCAUUUCGUUUGUUCAUGAUCCUUGUUAGAGUUAGGUUUAUUUCUUGUCUUCAUCACUUUUUGUUUUCUUUUCCUUUUGUAGGUUAGAGCUAUCUACUCGGUUAUGGCAUAUUAUUCAGAUUGUCUCGGAGAUGCGAGGAACACUACAAACAGCGCGGAAACUAUUCAAGAACUGAUAAGUAAGAUUUCCCAUCGAUUAGAUGAUUUAGCUCGGUAGCGAGAAGUAGUUUUUGAGGAUAGGCCUAGCUCUUAUGAUCCUUAUUCUAGAGGUCAUCCUUAUGUUGCUCCUACAUGCCAUAUUUGUGGAUUUCAGGGCCAUUCACCCGCGAAAUGUCAGCGUGGUUACUCUCACUCUCCCGAUUGUUAUGGCAUGAGCUUCGCCCCACAGCCUAGCUCAUACCAAAACAAUUACUCAUAUGGGUGGCCUGAGAACCAGAAUAUGUCAUAUAGGAGCAACAACCUUGAGAUCUCACCGUUUGGUUCUAGUAAUCAUAUGCAGGGAUUUAGGUAUGAAGAGGAGAGCAACAACUAUGCACCACAACAAUUUUAUUCACCUCCUACUCAUAUACCUCAACACCAGGAGAUGUGUCCAAUGGAGUUAAAUGGUCCUCCACUUGGUCAACCAACAACUCCAGCACCUGUUGAGCAAUCUCAUGCACAAGUGCCCACAAAAGAUGACUUUGAUGAUAUAGACAAGCUCACAUUGCUUAGUCUCGAGUUCACUUGGAGUGUUGAAGAUGAUCCAAUUAGGCCGAUGAUACUAGAGGAAAUGAAGAAGAUCAAGAGUGGAAAAGAGCUAGUGGAAGAAGUAAAGAAGAUUGAGAAGAACAUCAGCGCUGGCAGUACUAUCUCUUCCCUCCUUGGGUUGAGUGUUGCUGGGAUAUCCCUUGAGGUGUGUGAAGUUCCAACACCUUCUCAUUCAGCUGAGCAAGAUAGCGAGAGUCCAGAGGAAGAGAUACUUCAGAUACAAGAAGAAAUUCUCGAAGCCAAGGCACAAGAUGAUCCAGAGCUCGAAUACCCAAAUGAACAAGUUGAAGAUCCAAUGUCUACCACUCCUGAAGAAGGAGAAGAGCUGUUGUAGUUGAAGAUGAAGAACCAGAAAUUCAUUUGCCUAUUGUCAUACAAGAGUGUGAUGUAGCAGGUUUAUCUAAUCCUCUUGAUGACAUGCGUCCAUAUGAUCUGUUUGCCACUAUUUUGCAUUGCAUGAUACCAUCAAUUAAGCUAGAUUUGAAAAAAUGUUUGCUUGAACAUGAUCAUACAUACUCUGUUAUUGGCAUUUCUCUCAUUUAUGAUGAUGACACUUAUUUUCCUCAUGCUAGACCUAUGCUUAAUGAUAAAUAUCAUCCUCAUGUUAGUAUUGUGCUUGCUGAUUUUAUCAUACUCAUCAUGUUCUAUAUUCCUAUGCUUAUACAAUUGGAUAUUCGAUUGACGACUUAGAGGGCAUCUACCCUAUCACUUGUAGUCGUUGUUUGUGUGAGUCCUAUUUCAGGUUUCUGCUUGUGCACGAAUCAAUACAUGCUGACCAGGUUCGAGGUGACAUCCCUUGGGAUCCCGGUUGGAGUCAGAGCAUGGCGAUGAGGAGAAGCAGGGGCACACAUGAAGAAGAGUGAAGCUGAAGCAUGCACGAGGAAGCAAAGGAGAAGAGCUGCAGCUUAGAGAGUGAUCAAGCGAGUGCUACAUGAUCAAAGCCCGAAAAGGGCGAAAAGGACCAAAAUCCUUCUAUAAUGGAGAGUGUCAGGAAACUGUGGUUGCUGUAACUUAUGGAGGGACCCGACCGUGAAGAAAAGAAGUAACCAGAGGGGUCAAGCUAAAGUUGGAGGGAUCAUCUUGUGAAGAGAGAAGAGAAGUGGAAGGGCAAAAGAGCAAAACUGGCAGAUCAGAGGAGUGGAUCAAAUCCCUAGCGGCAACCAUCGAUCCCCUUUGGGCCUGGCAUCUCCAUCUCUCUCCCCCGACUCCCUCUCCACCUCCGGCCACUGCUGCGGCCAGACCGGCGUGGCGGCGCGCCACCGCGCCAACAGCACCCCCCACCACUAGCUGCUGCUCCACCACUUCAUCAUCGCCAUCCAUCCAUCACCCAGCGCCACCGCUGCAACAUCCACCAUCAGCGCCGCCACCUGAACCCCGAACCACCAGCAACCCACGCUGGCGCCAUCCACCACUUCCACUUUUCCCUCUGUCUCUUGUUGCUCCUCCCUCUUGCUUCGCCCCUGGUGCUUCUCUUCUUCCCCACGCCUCUACUGCUGCAUCUCCCUUGCCACGUCCCUGGCCCUUCUUGUCUUCCUACUGCUGCUUCUUCCUUCUCGAACCUCCUACUGCUGCCUCCUUCUUCUCUUGCUCUGCUGCUCCUCCUAAUAUUCUUCGAACCAGAAAACUGCUACUGCUCUCAACCUCCAACUUGCUGCUGCUGCUCCUCUCACGCCCCUGCUGCUACUUCUCUCUUCCACCUGCUGCUGCUCCUCCCUCACGCCCCUUCUCUAGCUGGUUGCUGGUGCUCUUCACCUUCCUUACCCCAACCUGCUGCUACUACUUCUCCUUCAACCUCCUUUUGUUUCCUUCUCUGAACCUUCUGUUGAUUCCCAACCUCCCGCUCCUCCUCUCUUGUUGCACUCCUUCUACGUCUUCUCCCUCAACCUCCUGCUGCUGCCAUCUCCCUCUCUGUAAAUUUAUGUAGACUUGAGAUCGAAUGUAAUAUUCAUAUUUGACUAGUGCUUGAAACUUGCUAUUGGUUCAUACUCGUAACUGUAUAAUAAUGCUAUGACAUGUUCAGUUUCAGACUUGUGCUUGUUUAGUACUGUAGUACUGAUUUUGUUCAUCGGCGAGUAUUAGAACAGUGCCCUGUAAUACCAUAUUCGUAUUUGUGUAUGUGUGUGUUCAUCUAAUUUGUUGCAUUUUAUAGUCCA